AAAAAGGGCUUCUGUCGUGAGUGGCACACGUAGGGCAGCUCGUUUGCUCUACGUGCGGAAUCGACAUCAAGAGAUUUCGGAAGCAUAAUUUUUGCUAACGGGGCAGCUGGUGAUCGUUGAAAAGAAUAAAAAAAAAAAAAAAAAAAAAAAAAUCUGCAUCCAU
rnacentral:snRNA from 1 species